rnacentral:rRNA from 1 species
GUUUAACGGCCGCGGUAUUUUGACCGUGCAAAGGUAGCGCAAUCACUUGUCUUUUAAAUAAAGACCCGUAUGAAUGGCAUAACGAGGGCUAAACUGUCUCCUUACCCAGGUUAAUGAAAUUGAUCUUUCCGUGCAGAAGCGGGAAUAAACCCAUAAGACGAGAAGACCCUGUGGAGCUUUAGAUGAAUAAAUGAACUUAUUAAAUAAAUAACCCCAAAAAGGCAACAAACAUAUAACCUCAUUUUAAUAUCUUUAGUUGGGGCGACCGCGGAGUAAAACAAAACCUCCGUGAGGACUGAGGUAAAAACCUUAUACCUGAGAAAGUCAUUUCUAAGUACCAAAAUAUUUGACCCAAAGAUCCGGCAAUAGCCGAUCAACGAACCUAGUUACCCCAGGGAUAACAGCGCAAUCCCUUUUGAGAGUCCCUAUCGACAAGGGGGUUUACGACCUCGAUGUUGGAUCAGGACAUCCUAAUGGUGCAG